rnacentral:rRNA from 1 species
UAGGGAAUCUUCCGCAAUGGGCGAAAGCCUGACGGAGCAACGCCGCGUGAGUGAUGAAGUUCUUCGGAUCGUAAAACUCUGUUAUUAGGGAAGAACAAAUGCGUAAGUAACUAUGCACGUCUUGACGGUACCUAAUCAGAAAGCCACGGCUAACUACGUGCCAGCAGCCGCGGUAAUACGUAGGUGGCAAGCGUUAUCCGGAAUUAUUGGGCGUAAAGCGCGCGUAGGCGGUUUUUUAAGUCUGAUGUGGAAGCCCACGGCUCAACCGUGGAGGGUCAUUGGAAACUGGAAAACUUGAGAGCAGAAGAGGAAAGUGGAGUUCCAGGUGUAGCGGUGAAAUGCGCAGAGAUAUGGGGGAACACCAGUGGCGAAGGCGACUUUCUAGUCUGUAACUGACGCUAAUGUGCGAAAGCGUGGAGAUCAAACAGG